rnacentral:misc_RNA from 1 species
AAGUCGUAACAAGGUUUCCGUAGGUGAACCUGCGGAAGGAUCAUUACAUGUUUGAAUUAGCUGCUCUCCCUUUAAAACGGGGCCAGUUAUUCUUCUACCCAUGCCUUUUUGCGUACUGCUUGUUUCCUCGGUAGCCUCGCCUACCGAUAGGACAACUUAAAAACCCUUUUUUUGUAAUUGCAAUCAGCGUCAAAAGAUAACUUAAUAGUUACAACUUUCAACAACGGAUCUCUUGGUUCUG